AUGUUGAUUGUACCGAACGAAGGAUUUGCCUUAUCACGAAAGCCACAUUCGUUUCAUUUGAGGAAGUCACAUGUCCUGUUCCCUAUAAAUAAGGAGAUUCAUUCUUUUUUUCAGAAAUCCCCUCUUCUUCCUCCUCAAGCCCCUAUCACAAGACCAAGUGGAUCUCAUCCUGCAGAAGACUCAGAGCGGAUCUAUCUAAUGGCAUGGCUGGCUGCCGGAUGUGAUCUAUUCUCGUGUCACAUCGCUUUCUUUCUUCUCCCUCCAUUUUCUUCACUACUGCCGCUUCUACACAUAAAUCAAAGAAGCAUUGUGGAAUAG
rnacentral:rRNA from 1 species